AACGCGAAGAACCUUACCUGGGCUUGACAUGCAUUUGACAGUUAUAGAAAUAUAAUCUUCUCGCAAGAGACAGAUGCACAGGUGCUGCAUGGCUGUCGUCAGCUCGUGCCGUGAGGUGUUGGGUUAAGUCCCGCAACGAGCGCAACCCUUGUCGUUAGUUGCCAUCACGUAAUGGUGGGCACUCUAGCGAGACUGCCUAGGUUAACUAGGAGGAAGGUGAGGAUGACGUCAAGUCCGCAUGGCCUUUAUGCCCAGGGCUACACACGUGCUACAAUGGUCGGUACAAAAGGCAGCGAAACCGUGAGGUGGAGCAAAUCCCCAAAGCCGGCCCCAGUUCAGAUUGGAGUCUGCAACUCGACUCCAUGAAGAUGGAAUUGCUAGUAAUGGCGAGUCAGCAACAUCGCCGUGAAUACGUUCCCGGGCCUUGUA
rnacentral:rRNA from 1 species